rnacentral:rRNA from 1 species
UACGUAGGUGGCAAGCGUUGUCCGGAAUUAUUGGGCGUAAAGCGCGCGCAGGCGGUCCGGUCAGUCGGUUGUGAAAACUCGAGGCUCAACCUCGAGACGCCGGUGGAAACCGUAAGGCUAGAGUCCGGAAGAGGAGAGUGGAAUUCCUGGUGUAGCGGUGAAAUGCGCAGAUAUCAGGAAGAACACCCGUGGCUAAGGCGGCUCUCUAGUACGGUACUGACGCUGAGACGCGAAAGCGUGGGGAGCGAACAGG